rnacentral:rRNA from 1 species
ACGCUUCUUUCCUCCCCGAGUGCUUGCACUCAAUUGGAAAGAGGAGUGGCGGACGGGUGAGUAACACGUGGGUAACCUACCCAUCAGAGGGGGAUAACACUUGGAAACAGGUGCUAAUACCGCAUAACAGUUUAUGCCGCAUGGCAUAAGAGUGAAAGGCGCUUUCGGGUGUCGCUGAUGGAUGGACCCGCGGUGCAUUAGCUAGUUGGUGAGGUAACGGCUCACCAAGGCCACGAUGCAUAGCCGACCUGAGAGGGUGAUCGGCCACACUGGGACUGAGACACGGCCCAGACUCCUACGGGAGGCAGCAGUAGGGAAUCUUCGGCAAUGGACGAAAGUCUGACCGAGCAACGCCGCGUGAGUGAAGAAGGUUUUCGGAUCGUAAAACUCUGUUGUUAGAGAAGAACAAGGACGUUAGUAACUGAACGUCCCCUGACGGUAUCUAACCAGAAAGCCACGGCUAACUACGUGCCAGCAGCCGCGGUAAUACGUAGGUGGCAAGCGUUGUCCGGAUUUAUUGGGCGUAAAGCGAGCGCAGGCGGUUUCUUAAGUCUGAUGUGAAAGCCCCCGGCUCAACCGGGGAGGGUCAUUGGAAACUGGGAGACUUGAGUGCAGAAGAGGAGAGUGGAAUUCCAUGUGUAGCGGUGAAAUGCGUAGAUAUAUGGAGGAACACCAGUGGCGAAGGCGGCUCUCUGGUCUGUAACUGACGCUGAGGCUCGAAAGCGUGGGGAGCAAACAAGAUUAGAUACCCUGGUAGUCCACGCCGUAAACGAUGAGUGCUAAGUGUGGGAGGGUUUUCCGCCCUUCAGUGUGCAAGCAAACGCAUUAAGCACUCCGCCUGGGGAGUACGACCGCAAGGUUGAAACUCAAAGGAAUUGACGGGGGCCCGCACAAGCGGUGGAGCAUGUGGUUUAAUUCGAAGCAACGCGAAGAACCUUACCAGGUCUUGACAUCCUUUGACCACUCUAGAGAUAGAGCUUUCCCUUCGGGGACAAAGUGACAGGUGGUGCAUGGUUGUCGUCAGCUCGUGUCGUGAGAUGUUGGGUUAAGUUCCGCAACGAGCGCAACCCUUAUUGUUAGUUGCCAUCAUUUAGUUGGGCACUCUAGCGAGACUGCCGGUGACAAACCGGAGGAAGGUGGGGAUGACGUCAAAUCAUCAUGCCCCUUAUGACCUGGGCUACACACGUGCUACAAUGGGAAGUACAACGAGUCGCUAGACCGCGAGGUCAUGCAAAUCUCUUAAAGCUUCUCUCAGUUCGGAUUGCAGGCUGCAACUCGCCUGCAUGAAGCCGGAAUCGCUAGUAAUCGCGGAUCAGCACGCCGCGGUGAAUACGUUCCCGGGCCUUGUACACACCGCCCGUCACACCACGAGAGUUUGUAACACCCGAAGUCGGUGAGGUAACAUUUUUGGAGCCAGCCGCCUAAGGUGGGAUAGAUG